AUGAACGCUGGCGGCGUGCCUCAUACAUGCAAGUCGAGCGCACGGACGAGAAGCUUGCUUCUCUGAUGUUAGCGGCGGACGGGUGAGUAACACGUGGAUAACCUACCUAUAAGACUGGGAUAACUUCGGGAAACCGGAGCUAAUACCGGAUGAUAUUUUGAACCGCAUGGUUCAAAAGUGAAAGACGGUCUUGCUGUCACUUAUAGAUGGAUCCGCGCUGCAUUAGCUAGUUGGUAAGGUAACGGCUUACCAAGGCAACGAUGCAUAGCCGACCUGAGAGGGUGAUCGGCCACACUGGAACUGAGACACGGUCCAGACUCCUACGGGAGGCAGCAGUAGGGAAUCUUCCGCAAUGGGCGAAAGCCUGACUGAGCAACGCCGCGUGAGUGAUGAAGGUCUUCGGAUCGUAAAACUCUGUUAUUAGGGAAGAACAUAUGUGUAAGUAACUGUGCACAUCUUGACGGUACCUAAUCAGAAAGCCACGGCUAACUACGUG
rnacentral:rRNA from 1 species